AACUCGGCUGCAUGAAGCUGGAAUCGCUAGUAAUCGCGGAUCAGAAUGCCGCGGUGAAUACGUUCCCGGGUCUUGUACACACCGCCCGUCACACCAUGGGAGUCGGGAAUGCCCGAAGUCAGUGACCCAACCGAAAGGGGGGAGCUGCCGAAGGCAGGCCUGGUAACUGGGGUGAAGUCGUAACAAGGUAGC
rnacentral:rRNA from 1 species